rnacentral:rRNA from 1 species
AUUGAACGCUGGCGGCAUGCCUUACACAUGCAAGUCGAACGGCAGCGCGGGGCAACCUGGCGGCGAGUGGCGAACGGGUGAGUAAUAUAUCGGAACAUACCCUAGAGUGGGGAUAACGUAGCGAAAGUUACGCUAAUACCGCAUACGCACUAAGGUGGAAAGUGGGGGAUCUUCGGACCUCAUGCUCAUGGAGUGGCCGAUAUCUGAUUAGCUAGUUGGUGAGGUAAAGGCUCACCAAGGCGACGAUCAGUAGCUGGUUUGAGAGAACGACCAGCCACACUGGAACUGAGACACGGUCCAGACUCCUACGGGAGGCAGCAGUGGGGAAUUUUGGACAAUGGGGGCAACCCUGAUCCAGCAAUGCCGCGUGAGUGAAGAAGGCC